UACGUAGGGUGCAAGCGUUAAUCGGAAUUACUGGGCGUAAAGCGUGCGCAGGCGGUUAUGUAAGACAGAUGUGAAAUGCCCGGGCUUAACCUGGGAACUGCAUUUGUGACUGCAUGGCUAGAGUUUGGCAGAGGGGGGUAGAAUUCCACGUGUAGCAGUGAAAUGCGUAGAUAUCGGGAGGAACAUCAGUGGCGAAGGCGGCCCUCUGGUCCAGUACUGACACUCAAGUGCGAAAGCGUGGGGAGCAAACAGG
rnacentral:rRNA from 1 species